rnacentral:rRNA from 1 species
GACGAACCGAGCGAACGUUGUUCGGAAUAACUGGGCUUAAAGGGCGCGUAGGCGGGCUGUCAAGUCUGGGGUGAAAUCCCGCGGCUCAACCGCGGAACCGCCUCGGAUACUGACGGCCUCGAGGGGGGUAGGGGCGAGCGGAACUAAUGGUGGAGCGGUGAAAUGCGUUGAUAUCAUUAGGAACUCCGGUGGCGAAGGCGGCUCGCUGGACCUCUUCUGACGCUGAGGCGCGAAAGCUAGGGGAGCAAACGGG